rnacentral:lncRNA from 1 species
UUUGUCAGUUUGCUUAGUAAUUUAUGUUAUACCAGAAAAUAUACCAAGAAAGAAUAACCAAUGUAAGUACGGAUCUGUAACCAUCCGUGGAUUGCAAUUUUUUUUAGGCAUCAGUGCCUGUAUAUUUUCUGAAUCUAAUUUAGGGAGGGUCAUAUCUGUAAAUUCCUUAAUCACUCUGAGUUUUUAAAUUUUGAUACCAAAUUACCACACUUAUUCGUCAUAGAAGAUUGUGCAUAGGAAUGUUACAGAUCUUUACAAUAAUUCGAAUGGUUUAAAUGAUGCACUUGGCAAUGGGUCUAGGCAUAUUUUUACAAAAAGGAAAAUUUUUCUCACAAUUUUUCUUCAUUCAUCAUUUCCGAAGGUACAACUUCACAAUCUCUCUUUGAAUUUUAAGCAAGCAUUUUUAAAAAUUAAAUAAAGGAAAGUAGGGAGUCAAAUUCGAGAGUUACCUAAUUUUUCCAUUGGUUUGAGCAGAGCAAUAGCCAGGAAUCCAUGUCAAGGGGGAAGAGAUAAAUUAUGAAGUCCGAAAGUUGAGUAGCACCUAAUUAAAGAAUAAUUUCAUUUGAUCAAAGAUGGCUAUCAUACACUUGGAAAAAAAAAAAAAAAACUCUCCGUCACUCUAAUUUGAAUAUUUGUUAAUUUUUAGGAUUUUCAAUUGAAUUUGUUGAAGCUAACAUCACCAAUUUCAACCAAGCAGAGCCUCAUAGCACCACCCUCAUCACUGCCUACAAAUCAGUUUCAUGAACAAAUUUCGAAACUGAUCCCUAGGAAAAUUACAAGAGAUGAAUUUCAUCAGAUGAUCCUAGACAAGAAUUUAUAUCCUUGUUUUAACAAAGCGGAAGCCAUUAUUCCAGUUUGCAAGCAGUUCUCAUGGUCUCCCCAAGGACUUAAUUAUCGUAAUAGGUGUCUCAUGGUUGUCCUAACAGAUACAGGCUCUUGCAGUAUUUAUGUCAGAGGCAAAUUAAAGAUGGUCUUACACAAGAGUAUCUCUAAUGAGUGGGUCAAAAUAUGUGCCAAGCAGUGGGACAGUGAUACACUAUCUCAUUUUAAUGAUCUUCAAGAGAGAGUCCGCAAAAUUAGUAUAAAAGAAAUUGCAUGGAGUCAUGCUGUGGGUGACUGGACCAAAAAACAGCACUUC